CAGGUGCCCCUAAUCUGGGUUCUAAUUUCUAAAGCAGCUUGUCACCCUGGGCUAAUGAACCCAUACCUGGGGCUCAGUUUCCUCAGUCAUAAAGUGGUGCAGUGAUGUCGCAAGCAUUCAAGGAGAUUUUAAAGUGUUUUGCAUCGGGUCUGACCCAGGCACGCGCUCAGGGAAUUGUGUCAUGAUAAUCGUUAUCAUGACUGUCGUGCUGUCACAAACCCAGGGCUGGGCCCCACAGGCCCUGGUCCUGGGUCCUUCCCACCUGGGACCAUCCCCAGAGUCUGCUGCACAGCCUCGGCCUAGCCUCUGCUUCUGACACCCCCAGCUGAGGACGCUGGCAGAACCCGGGUUCAUGCUCACCAUGGGAUGUUCCCGGCCCUUUCCAGGUCUCCCUGGGGCAGAGGCUCUCUGCCUCCUGGGACUGUGGGCCGGUUUGAGCGAGCCUGGUGACCCCUUCCUGAGUGAAGGGCCUCUCCAGGUCCUCUUGACGGGGCAGAGGGAUGGGCCCUGAGGCCGGCACCCACGAUGCCUGGUGCUCACCCACACGACCUGGCCCAGGACUGGGGAUGUGGGGGCAGCAUGGACAGGGGAGCUGGCGAUGGCCCUGGUACACUGAGGCCAGGGUCCGCGAGUGACUGGGCUUUAUUAUCUCUUCUGCUUGGUCACACUGCAGAAAGGGCUGGGGUCUGGGAUUUCAGCCCCCAACUGAAUACUCACUACAUACGAGGUGCGAGACCACACCGAGUGGAGCCUAGCUUUUGCCAUCAGAGUGACUGUGUGCGAUGGCCGCCUGUAGCUGCUAUGGGCAUGGUUCUAUCUCCUGUCUCAGAGCGAUGAGGCCCCGUCAGGCUGUCAGGUCGGGAUCACCAAGCCUUUCUACUCUGGAUUUCCUCCUCAAUCCUCCAAGCUAACCUCACGGAGAAGUCUCAAGCCUCACGUCCCCAGAAUCACCUCUCCUGGUGCUGAUGCCUGUUCCUGCGGGGCGCAGCUGGGCCCCAGCACGGCUGCGGGAGAGCGGGGGAGCAUCCCCAGGAAGCCUGCCUUCUGGCUGGGGAUCCACACCCUUCACACCCACCCAACAGAUACAGACCCACGUGCCAGGCACGGUUCUAGAUGCCGAAGAGUUAGCGACAGACACAAUUCGGUGUCCCUGC